rnacentral:rRNA from 1 species
UACAGAGGUCUCAAGCGUUGUUCGGAUUCAUUGGGCGUAAAGGGUGCGUAGGUGGCGCCGUAAGUCGGGUGUGAAAUUUCGGAGCUUAACUCCGAAACUGCAUUCGAUACUGCGGUGCUUGAGGACUGGAGAGGAGACUGGAAUUCAUGGUGUAGCAGUGAAAUGCGUAGAUAUCGAGAGGAACACCUGCGGCGAAGGCGGGUUGCUGGGCCGAUACUGACGCUGAUACGCGAAAGCCAGGGGAGCGAACGGG